GACGAACGCUGGCGGCGUGCUUAACACAUGCAAGUCGUACGGUAAGGCCCUUUCGGGGGUCCCCGAGUGGCGAACGGGUGAGUAACACGUGAGUAACCUGCCCACAACUUUGGGAUAACGCUAGGAAACUGGUGCUAAUACUGGAUAUGUGCUCCUGCUGCAUGGGGGGGGUUGGAAAGCUCCGGCGGUUGUGGAUGGACUCGCGGCCUAUCAGCUUGUUGGUGGGGUAGUGGCCUACCAAGGCGGCGACGGGUAGCCGGCCUGAGAGGGUGACCGGCCACAUUGGGACUGAGAUACGGCCCAGACGCCUACGGGAGGCAGCAGUGGGGAAUAUUGCACAAGGGGCGCCAGCCUGAUGCAGCAACGCCGCGUGCGGGAUGACGGCCUUCGGGUUGUAAACCGCUUUCAGCAGGGACGAAGCUUUUUGUGACGGUACCUGCAGAAGAAGCACCGGCUAACUACGUG
rnacentral:rRNA from 1 species